CCUUACCUGGCCUUGACAUACUAAGAACUUUCCAGAGAUGGAUUGGUGCCUUCGGGAACUUAGAUACAGGUGCUGCAUGGCUGUCGUCAGCUCGUGUCGUGAGAUGUUGGGUUAAGUCCCGCAACGAGCGCAACCCUUUUCCUUAUUUGCCAGCGGGUAAUGCCGGGAACUUUAAGGAUACUGCCAGUGACAAACUGGAGGAAGGCGGGGACGACGUCAAGUCAUCAUGGCCCUUACGGCCAGGGCUACACACGUGCUACAAUGGUCGGUACAAAGGGUUGCUACCUCGCGAGAGGAUGCUAAUCUCAAAAAGCCGACCGUAGUCCGGAUCGCAGUCUGCAACUCGACUGCGUGAAGUCGGAAUCGCUAGUAAUCGCGGAUCAGAAUGCCGCGGUGAAUACGUUCCCGGGCCUUGUACACACCGCCCGUCACACCAUGGGAGUUUGUUGCACCAGAAGUAGGUAGUCUAACCGCAAGGAGGACGCUUACCACGGUGUGGCCGAUGACUGGGGUGAAGUCGUAACAAGGUAAGCGUAGAUGA
rnacentral:rRNA from 1 species